rnacentral:rRNA from 11 species
GGAUGUUGGCUUAGAAGCAGCCAUCAUUUAAAGAGUGCGUAAUAGCUCACUGGUCUAGUAAUCUUGCGCCGAAAAUGAACGGGGCUAAGUAAUUUGCCGAAGCUGUGGGAUAUACUUGUAUAUCGGUAGGGGAGCGUUCUAUGGUAGGUUGAAGCGUUAACGUAAGUGGGCGUGGACAAAGUAGAAGUGAGAAUGUCGGCUUGAGUAGCGAAAACAUUGGUGAGAAUCCAAUGCCCCGAAAACCUAAGGUUUCCUCCGGAAGGCUCGUCCGCGGAGGGUAAGUCAGGACCUAAGGCGAGGCUGAAAAGCGUAGUCGAUGGACAAUGGGUUAAUAUUCCUAUACCAUUUUUUGUUGGCAACGAGGGACGAAGAUAGCUAAGCUAGCCAAAUGUUGGUUAUUGGUUCAAGUGUUCAAGGUGUUGAGAAAUAGAGAAAAUAUUUUGAGCCAAGGCAUGAGUACAAAAUACUACGGUAUUAAAGUAGCCGAUGUUAGGCUUCCAAGAAAAGCUCGCACUGUCACAAACAAAAAAUGCCUGUACUAGAAACCGACACAGGUGGGUAGGUAGAGUAUACCAAGGGGCGCGAGAUAACCCUCUCUAAGGAACUCGGCAAAAUAACCCCGUAACUUCGGGAGAAGGGGUACCUUUUUAAGGUUGCAAUAACAAGGUCCAAGCGACUGUUUACCAAAAACACAUGUCUCUGCUAAGCCGCAAGGCGAUGUAUAGGGACUGACACCUGCCCGGUGCUGGAAGGUUAAGGAAGGGGGUUAGACUUCGGUCGAAGCUCUUAACUGAAGCCCCAGUAAACGGCGGCCGUAACUAUAACGGUCCUAAGGUAGCGA